GGCCUUGUAUUCAUAUUAGUGAUAACAGAAUGCAAUUCUGGAGGGACGAUUUAAGUUUCGUUAAGGCCU
rnacentral:tRNA from 1 species